UACGUAGGAGGCAAGCGUUAUCCGGAAUGACUGGGCGUAAAGGGUGCGUAGGCGGACUGUCAAGUCAGCGGUAAAAUACGGGGGCUCAACCUCCGCCCGCCGUUGAAACUGACGGUCUUGAGUGGGCGAGAAGUAUGCGGAAUGCGUGGUGUAGCGGUGAAAUGCAUAGAUAUCACGCAGAACUCCGAUUGCGAAGGCAGCAUACCGGCGCCCGACUGACGCUGAAGCACGAAAGCGUGGGGAUCGAACAGG
rnacentral:rRNA from 1 species